rnacentral:rRNA from 1 species
UACGAAGGGGGCUAGCGUUGCUCGGAAUCACUGGGCGUAAAGCGCACGUAGGCGGACUCUUAAGUCAGGGGUGAAAUCCUGGAGCUCAACUCCAGAACUGCCUUUGAUACUGGGAGUCUUGAGUUCGGGAGAGGUGAGUGGAACUGCGAGUGUAGAGGUGAAAUUCGUAGAUAUUCGCAAGAACACCAGUGGCGAAGGCGGACUUACUGGUCCGGUUCGUGACGCUGAGGCGCGAAAGCGUGGGGAGCAAACAGGAUUAGAAACCC